AUGGACGGACGGCGGCUAAGGAGAGGGAAAAAUCCGCGGCUGCUGAUGUCGGAAAGCUGUUUGAAUGCCCAGCGAGGAGGGAGGCGCGAGAGGGAGCGAGAUAGUAAAGCUCUGUCUCGGGCGUGCGCGGGGCGCGCGGCGCUCGCUCUCCCCGGGCGCGCCGGCCACCCGCGUGCUCGCAGCCCCGCGCGCCCCCGAGCCCCGCGCGCCCCCGAGCCCCGCGCGCCCCGCGCCGGCUCCGGUGCGGAGCGCCCGGCGGCAGGCCCGAGGCUGCCCGCGCGCCCCGCGGCCGCUGCGCCCUCCCGGAGCUCGGGCCCCUCCCGAGAGCGCGGGCGGGUGCGAGUGCGCGGGCUAGGGGGCGGCGGGCGGGAGGGGGCCAGGCGGAGCUCCAGCCCUGGCCGCGGUGCGCCUGCCCGUCACGGCUUCUCAAAACCCAGCACGUCCCGAAAGCGCGAUUUUCUGCGUCUGGGAGGCUUGUGCAUCCUCAGUUCCCACCGCUGGGGCUGGCGGCGAGCGACUCGCGGACCUGUCGCAGCCGACGAGCUGUCAUUUCAGCAGCGGGAUUCGGAGGAAUUGAUGGUCAGCGGCGAGCGCGGGGGGCACCACCUCGGCUGCCGAGCUGCGGCGUGUCUCCGGGCGGAACAAUCCUAGUUUUUCUCAGCGAGGCUGCAAUUAACAUCUUAUUUGUUCUGGCUAGAUACAGGCUUUGUCAGCACCGCGGUGCGGCGACCGAGGUUGGGCAUCUUGCAUUGCUUUCUGCAUGGCAAUGGGAUCAUGGUUGUGGGGUCUAAACUUUUGUUUUGUGUUCCUAAUGUAUCUGAUUCUUUUUCAAGUUUCCCUAGUAACAGGUUUGGGGACGGGAGUGGGAAGAAACGGGGGAAAGGAGAGGGAGGAGAAACUACCAGAUUCUCGAUUUAGCAGGAAAAAAGGGAUAAAUUUCCACCACUCCCCACCUUUAUGUGUUUAUUUUUUUUUGCCUCCUAGACAGUUGGCUGACAAGUAUUUGAUGAACUAGCUUCACAUACAUGCUGCAAAAGGUCAUUCGCCUACUGAUUAUGUCUCUGCUUGUAAACGCAGUUGGCGGUUUGCAAAACAAGUGCUGAAAUCUUGUCCGGUGGGGUGGGGGGAGGAGACCGUACUGGGUAAUUCGUGUAAAGUGCUGGAGUCCUCCUAAGGGUAAGUUGCUUGAGUGGCAGUUGAAGUUGAAUAAACAAUUUUCCAUCAUUUUUCUCUCCCUGCUU
rnacentral:lncRNA from 1 species